rnacentral:rRNA from 1 species
CAGCCGCUGGUAAUACGUAGGGGGCUAGCGUUGUCCGGAAUCAUUGGGCGUCAAGAGCGUGUACGCGGCCCGGUAAGUCCGCUGUGAAAGUCGGAGGCUCAACCCUCGAAUGCCGGUGGAUACUGUCGGGCUAGAGUGCGGAAGAGGCGAGUGGAAUUCCUGGUGUAGCGGUGAAAUGCGCAGAUAUCAGGAGGAACACCGAUUGCGAAGGCAGCUCGCUGGGACGUAACUGACGCUGAGACGCGAAAGCGUGGGGAGCAAACAGGAUUAGAUUACCUGGUAGUCCACGCUGUAAACGAUGGGCACUAGGUGUGGUGGGUGUCGACUCCCUCCGUGCCGAAGCUAACGCAUUAA